GAUGAACGCUGGCGGCGUGCCUAAUACAUGCAAGUCGAGCGAACAGACGAGGAGCUUGCUCCUCUGACGUUAGCGGCAGACGGGUGAGUAACACGUGGAUAACCUACCUAUAAGACUGGGAUAACUUCGGGAAACCGGAGCUAAUACCGGAUAAUAUAUUGAACCGCAUGGUUCAAUAGUGAAAGACGGUUUUGCUGUCACUUAUAGAUGGAUCCGCGCCGCAUUAGCUAGUUGGUAAGGUAACGGCUUACCAAGGCAACGAUGCGUAGCCGACCUGAGAGGGUGAUCGGCCACACUGGAACUGAGACACGGUCCAGACUCCUACGGGAGGCAGCAGUAGGGAAUCUUCCGCAAAGGGCGAAAGCCUGACGGAGCAACGCCGCGUGAGUGAUGAAGGUCUUCGGAUCGUAAAACUCUGUUAUUAGGGAAGAACAAAUGUGUAAGUAACUAUGCACGUCUUGACGGUACCUAAUCAGAAAGCCACGGCUAACUACGUG
rnacentral:rRNA from 1 species